rnacentral:sRNA from 1 species
GCUGGGCACAGUGGCACACGCCUGUAAUCCCAGCAGCUUGGGAGGCUGAGGCAGGAGGAUCUCAAGUUCAAAGCCAGCCUCAGCAAAGUGAGGUGCUAAGCAACUCAGUGAGACUCUGUCUCUA